rnacentral:tRNA from 1 species
GCCUGGCCAGCUCAGUCGCUAGAGCAUGAGACUCUUAAUCUCAGAAUCGUGGGGGAGAACCCAUGUUGGGCG